AUUGAACGCUGGCGGCAUGCCUUACACAUGCAAGUCGAACGGCAGCACGGGAGCAAUCCUGGUGGCGAGUGGCGAACGGGUGAGUAAUAUAUCGGAACGUGCCCAGUCGUGGGGAUAACGUAGCGAAAGCUACGCUAAUACCGCAUACGAUCUAUGGAUGAAAGCGGGGGAUCGCAAGACCUCGCGCGAUUGGAGCGGCCGAUAUCAGAUUAGGUAGUUGGUGAGGUAAAGGCUCACCAAGCCGACGAUCUGUAGCUGGUCUGAGAGGACGACCAGCCACACUGGGACUGAGACACGGCCCAGACUCCUACGGGAGGCAGCAGUGGGGAAUAUUGGACAAUGGGCGAAAGCCUGAUCCAGCCAUGCCGCGUGUGUGAAGAAGGGUCUUCGGAUUGUAAGCACUUUAAGUUGGGAGGAAGGGUAGUAACCUAAUACGUUGCUACUUUGACGUUACCGACAGAAUAAGACACCGGCUAACUACGUG
rnacentral:rRNA from 1 species